rnacentral:ncRNA from 1 species
UACGACUGAAAUGCCUCUAAGUCAGAAUCCGUCUAAGCAGUGCAAUGAUAUCGUGCGCACUUGCAGCGUUUACAGGUGACGUUAGAGUUUCUCGGGUCGAUCGCGGCGGGCCGCCGCGAUUCCCGGCUCGACGACGCCACGUGGACGUGGGGGCAUUAGUCGUUCGCCGAGGUAACGGUGCGAGCGACGCUCCCAUGCACUCGUUUUUGGUGUGAACCGCUGCGGUGUCAAAUCGUCUGUAGACGACUUAGGUACCUGUCGUGGUGUCGUAAUUAGUAUAGCAGCCACCACACUGCGAUCUAUUGAGGCUUAGCCAUUGACCGGGAGGUUUGU